CUUUGAAGCCAUCGGGCUGCUGAGAGGGAGUCACGCAGUUCUCGCGAGACUGGAUCAGUUACGGGAGCCGGCGGUUAUAAAGCAAGCUGCCCCCCAGGCUUCUCCCCUCCGCAUGCGCAGUGUGUGCACUUUGCCUUUCAGCUUUUUCCUCGCUGCGCGAGGCCCGGGCAGGUUGAGGCGGUCCUGUGCUGGCCUUUCAACCUUCAGAACCCCAUCGAAAGGGUGACGUCAGUCAUCCACCAGGGGACACGGCGGCCCACAACGUCCUACGCCGGGAAAAGCCAGGAGCAGAAGUUUGUAGUAGUUCCCGGGUCUCCCUGUGUUGCCCAGGCUGGUCUGGAAUUCCUGGGCUCCAGCAG